UUUUGUGUUAUUUUUUAUCAUUGUUGAGUGCCUACGUGCUCUUUGUUUACACUUUUUACUUUAUGUGUUAUCGCUUUAUAUCUGGCCUCAUGUGCAUAACCCGAGUUUUUUUUUUCUGCAACAAGUUCGUAGUAAAUGUGUGUACACGACCUAUUGUUGAGUGACCUUUGUUUUAGGAGGGGGAUCCAUUGGGUUGUAUGGAGUAGGUGGACAGCUAAAGCAAUCCACUAUCGACCAU
rnacentral:lncRNA from 1 species